rnacentral:rRNA from 1 species
UACGUAGGUGGCAAGCGUUGUCCGGAAUUAUUGGGCGUAAAGCGCGCGCAGGUGGUUCCUUAAGUCUGAUGUGAAAGCCCCCGGCUCAACCGGGGAGGGUCAUUGGAAACUGGGGAACUUGAGUGCAGAAGAGGAUAGUGGAAUUCCAAGUGUAGCGGUGAAAUGCGUAGAUGUCUGGAGGAAUACCGGUGGCGAAGGCGGCAUCCUGGACCGACAUUGACGCUGAGGAGCGAAAGCUAGGGGAGCAAACGGG